rnacentral:rRNA from 1 species
AGCAGCCGCGGUAAUUCCAGCUCCAAUAGCGUAUAUUAAAGUUGUUGCAGUUAAAAGCUCGUAGUUGAAUUUCGGAAUCGACGGAUUGGUCGCGCCUUCGGUGUGUACUGGUCUUGCCGGUUUCUCCCUUCUGACGAACCACGAUGUCAUUAAUUUGGUGUCGUGGGGAAUCAGGACUGUUACUUUGAAAAAUUAGAGUGUUUAAAGCAGGUAUUAGCUUGAAUACAUUAGCAUGGAAUAAUGAAAUAGGACGUUUGAUCUUGUUUUGUUGGUUUCUAGGAUCGACGUAAUGAUUAAUAGGGAUAGAUGGGGGCAUUAGUAUUCAAUUGUCAGAGGUGAAAUUCUUGGAUUUAUUGAAGACUAACUACUGCGAAAGCAUUUGCCAAGGAUGUUUUCAUUAAUCAAGAACGAAAGUUAGGGGAUCGAAGACGAUCAGAUACCGUCGUAGUCUUAACCAUAAACUAUGCCGACUAGGGAUCGGAUGAUGUAAUUUUAUGACUCA